rnacentral:rRNA from 1 species
AUUGAACGCUGGCGGCAGGCCUAACACAUGCAAGUCGAACGAGUGGCGGACGGGUGAGUAAUGUCUGGGAAACUGCCUGAUGGAGGGGGAUAACUACUGGAAACGGUAGCUAAUACCGCAUACCAUCGGAUGUGCACAGAUGGGAUUGUCUAGUAGGUGGGGUAAAGGCUCACCUAGGCGACGAUCCAUAGCUGGUCUGAGAGGAUGACCAUCCACACUGGAACAGAGAAACGGUCCAGACUCCUACGGGAGGCAGCAGUGGGGAAUCUUUCACAAUGGACGCAAGCCUGAUGCAGACAUGCCGCGUGUAUGAAGAUGGCCUUCGGGUUGUAAAGUUCUUUCAUCCGGGAGGCGUUACCCACUGAGAAAGCUCCGGCUAACUCCGUGCCAGCAGCCGCGGUAAUAC